UGGGGAAUAUUGGACAAUGGGCGGAAGCCUGAUCCAGCCAUGCCGCGUGUGUAAAGAAGGCCUUUUGGUUGUAAAGCACUUUAAGCGAGGAGGAGGCUCUUCUCGUUAAUACCUAGGAUGAGUGGACGUUACUCGCAGAAUAAGCACCGGCUAACUCUGUGCCAGCAGCCGCGGUAAUACAGAGGGUGCGAGCGUUAAUCGGAUUUACUGGGCGUAAAGCGUGCGUAGGCGGCUGAUUAAGUCGGAUGUGAAAUCCCUGAGCUUAACUUAGGAAUUGCAUUCGAUACUGGUCAGCUAGAGUAUGGGAGAGGAAGGUAGAAUUCCAGGUGUAGCGGUGAAAUGCGUAGAGAUCUGGAGGAAUACCGAUGGCGAAGGCAGCCAUCUGGCCUAAUACUGACGCUGAGGUACGAAAGCAUGGGGAGCAAACAGG
rnacentral:rRNA from 1 species